CAGGCACGUCGAUGUGAAGAUUCACCGCUGUAGUAAACAACAAAAUAAAUGGUCAUUGAUUCAUACUUCAUUGUAACUAAAAAAGAAAGAACUUACAUUUUGGCGACGCCGGUGGCAGCCACUGUAUUGAAGACAGGAACCACAUAAAUAAUAAACCUCAGCUCCUUGUGAGGCAGAUUGGAGUACAGGAGAACGUAACCCAGGGCAGGAAUCAACAGGGGUCGAAGCAAGAGCCCUGAGUUAGAGGACAAUGAAAGGAUACACCCCAUUUGGAGCUCUGGUUGUCCACCGUGUUAAACCACAGGACCUCACCCUCGGGCCACAGCCACCGCCUCCAUAAGAAGCUGUCCACCAG